UUAAGAUACCCUGGUUAGUCCCACGCCGGUAACCGAUGAGUGCUAGGGUGUUAGGGGGGCCCACCCCUUAGUGCCCGAAGCUAACGCAUUAAGCACUCCGCCCUGGGGGAGUACGGUCGCAAGACUGAAACUCAAAGGAAUUGACGGGGGCCCGCACAAGCAGUGGAGCAUGUGGUUUAAUUCGAAGCAACGCGAAGAACCUUACCAGGACUUGACAUCCCGCUGACCGGUUUAGAGAUAGACCUUCCCUUCGGGGCAGCGGUGACAGGUGGUGCAUGGUUGUCGUCAGCUCGUGUCGUGAGAUGUUGGGUUAAGUCCCGCAACGAGCGCAACCCCUAUGUUGUGUUGCUACCAUUUAGUUGAGCACUCACAACAGACUGCCGGUGACAAACCGGAGGAAGGCGGGGAUGACGUCAAAUCAUCAUGCCCCUUAUGUCCUGGGCUACACACGUGCUACAAUGGGCGGUACAAAGGGAUGCCAAGCCGCGAGGCGGAGCCAAUCCCAGAAAGCCGUUCGUAGUUCGGAUUGCAGGCUGCAACUCGCCUGCAUGAAGCCGGAAUUGCUAGUAAUCGCGGAUCAGCAUGCCGCGGUGAAUUCGUUCCCCGGGCCUUGUACACACCGCCCGUCACACCAUGGGAGUUGGCAACACCCGAAGUCGGUGAGGUAACUGCUGCA
rnacentral:rRNA from 1 species